UGGGGAAUAAGUGACAAAAUAAAAUCUAAAUCCCUGAAUUUGAAAAGGAAUACAGGUCUGGUAUCCUACAGAGGCAGACCAACAGGGACAACAGGCUAUAGUAAUGGAAUCAUCCACACAAAAAAAAAUUAAACUGAAAGAU